rnacentral:misc_RNA from 1 species
AAGUCGUAACAAGGUUUCCGUAGGUGAACCUGCGGAAGGAUCAUUAACACGUUAUCCACGUAUCACCACUGAGAACCGUUUAAUUCUACCUCUGUUUGGAAUGAACAGCUAGACUAGCGAUAGAGUGAUGGGAAGGGAGUGCCUCACGGCCUCUGUGCUCUAUUCUGUUUAUUCGUAUUCGGAUCGCAAGAUUUGAGUAUGUACUGUUGUAUUCAACCAGUUGGCCCCCUCUCGGCGCACAGCUCUCCUUCCAUGAGAUGCGCGCUGGGAAACGUAUCUAACCAUUCUAACCCCUUUUUGCUAGUUGACUUUUAUAUGUUGCUGUUCUUUGCUUCGGCAAGGUCUGCACACGUUUAAUUAUUUGAACGUUAAAAAUACAACUCUUAGCAAUGGAUAUCUAGGUUCUC